rnacentral:rRNA from 1 species
CCUACGGGUGGCUGCAGUGGGGAAUAUUGGACAAUGGGGGGAACCCUGAUCCAGCCAUGCCGCGUGUGUGAAGAAGGCCCUCGGGUUGUAAAGCACUUUCAGUGAGGAAGAACGCCUGGUGGUUAAUACCCAUCAGGAAAGACAUCACUCACAGAAGAAGCACCGGCUAACUCCGUGCCAGCAGCCGCGGUAAUACGGAGGGUGCGAGCGUUAAUCGGAAUUACUGGGCGUAAAGCGCGCGUAGGUGGCUUGAUAAGCCGGUUGUGAAAGCCCCGGGCUCAACCUGGGAACGGCAUCCGGAACUGUCAAGCUAGAGUGCAGGAGAGGAAGGUAGAAUUCCCGGUGUCGCGGUGAAAUGCGUAGAGAUCGGGAGGAAUACCAGUGGCGAAGGCGGCCUUCUGGACUGACACUGACACUGAGGUGCGAAAGCGUGGGUAGCAAACAGGAUUAGAUACCCUUGUAGUC